CAUAUCACUAAGCGGAGAAAAAGAAAAUAACUAUGAUUCCUAAAGUAACGGCGAGUGAAAUAGGAAAAGCCCAUAGCCGAAUUCUGCUGUCCUCGACGGCAGCUAGAAGUUGUGGCGUUGGGAACUGCCUUUUGUAACCGAUCGGUCGGGCUACGCGACUCCUCUUGAUUGUGGUUUGCCCAUAGCAGGUGAAAGGCCUAUUGCCGUAGCCUCGUGCWGAAGACCGGCGGUGAUGGCAGUCCUUAGAGUCGGGUUGUUUGGGAUUGCAGCCCGAAGUAGGUGGUAAACUCCACCUAAGGCUAAAUACGAUCGCGAGUCCGAUAGCGCACAAGUACCGUGAGGGACAGUUGAAAAGAACUUUGAAGAGAGAGUUCAAAGUACGUGAAACCGUUCAGAGGUAAACGGGUAGAAAGUCGAAUUGAAGGCUGACAAUCAAGCCGUUGGUUUAGUCUGAGUUGGGCCAGUAGCACGUUAAAGGCUUCUGGUUUGCUUGUAUGGCUGGCUACGGUUGUAUUUGUUGGCUUUGGAUCGCCGCGACGGCAGUGUCUGACCGGCUGGCAUCGGCUCCUCUGGUCAAUGUAAAUCCGUUUGGGUUUUCACGUUGGCACAUGGGCUGGUGUCCCGCGUACUUAGCACAGUCGAUAUUUACAGCGGUUUAAGCGUUCCAGCUGGUCGYCGUUCGUCUUGUAUUGGUAGGUCAAUCUUAAACAAGUUUACCUGCUAACAUCAGGGCGGCGGCGGUUGGUUUAACGACGGAACAAGGAUCGCAUUGGCGGCGUUUGACUACGAAUUAUCUACCUGACCCGUCUUGAAACACGGACCAAGGAGUCUAACCUGUGCGCGAGCCAUUGAGAUUAACAAACUCAAAGGCAAAGUGAAAGCGAUUUCGGUGAGAUCUGUCGUUUAAUUGUUGAGAUUAACGGCGGCGCAUCAUCGUCACGCCUCGUUACGGCUUCGGCUGUUGAGGCGCAGACUGAGCGCACAAGUUGGGACCCGAAAGAUGGUGAACUAUGCGAGGCGAGGUCGAAGCCAGAGGAAACUCUGGUGGAGGACUGUAGCGGUUCUAACGUGCAAAUUGAUCGUCGCAGCUUCGUAUAGGGGCGAAAGACUAAUCGAACCAUCUAGUAGCUGGUUCCCUCCGAAGUUUCCCUCAGGAUAGCUGGCACUUUCGGAGAGCAGUUUUGUCCGGUAAAGCGAAUGACUAGAGGCCUUGGGGACAUAACGACCUCAACCUAUUCUCAAACUUUGAAUGGGCAAGAAGAGGGACUCACUUAAUUGGAGUCUUCUCAUUUGUGAAUGCUUGAGUGCCAAGUGGGCCAUUUUUGGUAAGCAGAACUGGCGCUGUGGGAUGAACCAAACGUCUAGCUAAGGUGCCAAAUGCUAACGCUCAUCCGAUCCCAUUAAAGGUGUUGGUUGAUAGAGACAGCAGGACGGUGGCCAUGGAAGUCGGAACCCGCCAAGGAGUGUGUAACAACUCACCUGCCGAAUCAACCAGUCCUGAAAAUGGAUGGCGCUGAAGCGUUGUGAACCUAUGCUAGACCGGCAUUGC
rnacentral:rRNA from 1 species